UUUGCUCCCGGAUCCCUCUGGAGGGAGAGAUGGGAACAGAGGUGUCAUUCAUUCAGAAAAUGCAAACAACAGCUGGGUGAAAACUCUUGUUCAAAGUUCUUUUUUAAUGGAAAAUGCCAUUUUGACAAAAAGGAAAGUUUUUGUUUCAGUUGAAAUUGUUCAU